rnacentral:sRNA from 1 species
UUGCCAAUUCUCCUUUCUCUCUCUAAAACUCAUUUUCCCAAAUUCUUUUAUGCCUUCUCUCUAGCCUCCACACUGAUUUAGUCAUUGCAUGUUCUGUUAGGUGGUACCCUAGCGACCGUCUCGUAGAGAGCUUCAAAACCAUCCGAUUGGUUUUACGUUCUUCAGCCGGGCACUGCUUAAGUUCUUCCUAGGGUAGGAUACUGUUGAAAGUUGUGUUGUGUGCUAGACUGCUCAACUUCAAGAGGGAGAUAAGACAUCUGUGGAGUAGGAGCUAGAGGGUGCCAAUGGUGUUGAGUAGCCUAGGAACUUAUAGAUUUACCUACUUCUAUUCUUUUGAAAUACUCUACUCUUUUGUAAUUUAAGUUUUAAUUUCCUAACUCUUUUGGAAGGAUAAAUGUAAUCCUAU